AGUGAACGCUGGCGGUAGGCCUAACACAUGCAAGUCGAACGGCAGCACAGUAAGAGCUUGCUCUUACGGGUGGCGCGUGGCGGACGGGUGAGGAAUACAUCGGAAUCUACUUUUUCGUGGGGGAUAACGUAGGGAAACUUACGCUAAUACCGCAUACGACCUACGGGUGAAAGCACGGGAUCUUCGGACCUUGCGCGAUUGUAUGAGCCGAUGUCGGAUUAGCUAGUUGGCGGGGUAAAGGCCCACCAAGGCGACGAUCCGUAGCUGGUCUGAGAGGAUGAUCAGCCACACUGGAACUGAGACACGGUCCAGACUCCUACGGGAGGCAGCAGUGGGGAAUAUUGGACAAUGGGCGCAAGCCUGAUCCAGCCAUACCGCGUGGGUGAAGAAGGCCUUCGGGUUGUAAAGCCCUUUUGUUGGGAAAGAAAAGCAGCAGGUUAAUACCCCGCUGUUCUGACGGUACCCAAAGAAUAAGCACCGGCUAACUUCGUG
rnacentral:rRNA from 1 species